AGUAAAUAGAUACCCGGGUAGUCCCAGCCGUAAACGAUGCUCGCUAGGUGUCAGGCAUGGCGCGACCGUGUCUGGUGCCGCAGGGAAGCCGUGAAGCGAGCCACCUGGGAAGUACGGCCGCAAGGCUGAAACUUAAAGGAAUUGGCGGGGAGCACAACAACGGGUGGAGCCUGCGGUUUAAUUGGACUCAACGCCGGACAACUCACCGGGGGCGACAGCAAUAUGUAGGCCAAGCUGAAGACUUUGCCUGAAUCGCUGAGAGGAGGUGCAUGGCCGUCGCCAGUUCGUACUGUGAAGCAUCCUGUUAAGUCAGGCAACGAGCGAGACCCGUGCUCACUGUUACCAGCAUGUCCUCCGGGACGAUGGGUACUCUGUGGGGACCGCCGAUGUUAAAUCGGAGGAAGGUGCGGGCCACGGCAGGUCAGUAUGCCCCGAAUCUCCCGGGCUACACGCGGGCUACAAUGGAUGGGACAAUGGGUCCUCCCCUGAAAAGGGCUGGUAAUCUCACAAACCCAUUCGUAGUUCGGAUCGAGGGCU
rnacentral:rRNA from 1 species